UGAAAACCCCUUCUUCUUUUUUCUAAUUUACUAAGACCCUGUUUGGAAUGCAUCAGACCUACAGUUGCGGUGCAAUUAUUAUAAAAUGUUAUGCCAGUAAUAUCCAAACAAUGCUGUGGUGCACCAAAAUUUUCGUGGUUUGUUCACUGUAGUUGAAGGUUCCAGUUAACUCCAACCGCAGCUUCUUCAUUUUUUUUCUUUUUCAUUUUUCUCCUCAAGUUAGCAGCUUUUAAUUUUUUUUUUUAUUAUGAUUUUCAUUUUUUCCCAGAUUUUGGAUUUUUUAUUUAAAAAU
rnacentral:lncRNA from 1 species